UCCGUAGGUGAACCUGCGGAAGGAUCAUUACAGUUAUUAAUUCCAGCCAGCGCUUAACUGCGCGGCAGGAACUAAUCUUACACACUGUGUUUUUUGUUAUUACAAGAACUAUUGCUUUGGCUUGGCCUUCGGGUUGGGCCAGAGUGCUGUAAACUUCAAUUUUAUUGAAUUGUUUUUUUAACUAUAAGUCAAUUUGUUUGAUUAAAUUCAAAAUAAUCUUCAAAACUUUCAACAACGGAUCUCUAGGUUCUCGCAUCGAUGAAGAACGCAGCGAAAUGCGAUAAGUAAUAUGAAUUGCAGAUUUUCGUGAAUCAUCGAAUCUUUGAACGCACAUUGCGCCCUUUGGUAUUCCAAAGGGCAUGCCUGUUUGAGCGUCAUUUCUCCUUCAAACCUCCGGGUUUGGUAUUGAGUGAUACUCUUAGUCAGACUAGGCGUUUGCUUGAAAAGUAUCGGCAUGAGUGCGCUAGAUAGUGCCUCCGAUUAUUCAAUGUAUUAGGUUUAUCCAACUCGUUGAACGGUCGGGACGUAAAUUUCUGGUUGCUGGCUCGGCCUUACAACAACAAACAAGUUUGACCUCAAAUCAGGUAAGAAUACCCGCUGAACUUAAGCAUAUCAAUAAGCGGAGGA
rnacentral:rRNA from 1 species